CUUCUCUCCUUCAGGUGACCAAGGGUGUCUCUCUGCUGCUGUCUGUGCUUCGGGAUCCUGCCCUCCAGAAGUCCUCCAAGGCUUGGUACUUGCUGCGUGUCCAGGUCCUGCAGCUGGUGGCAGCUUACCUUAGCCUCCCGUCAAACAACCUCUCACACUCCCUGUGGGAGCAGCUCUGUGCCCAAGGCUGGCAGACACCUGAGAUAGCUCUCAUAGACUCCCAUAAGCUCCUCCGAAGCAUCAUCCUCCUGCUGAUGGGCAGUGACAUUCUCUCAACUCAGAAAGCAGCUGUGGAGACAUCGUUUUUGGACUAUGGUGAAAAUCUGGUACAAAAAUGGCAGGUUCUUUCAGAGGUGCUGAGCUGCUCAGAGAAGCUGGUCUGCCACCUGGGCCGCCUGGGUAGUGUGAGUGAAGCCAAGGCCUUUUGCUUGGAGGCCCUAAAACUUACAACAAAGCUGCAGAUACCACGCCAGUGUGCCCUGUUCCUGGUGCUGAAGGGCGAGCUGGAGCUGGCCCGCAAUGACAUUGAUCUCUGUCAGUCGGACCUGCAGCAGGUUCUGUUCUUGCUUGAGUCUUGCACAGGUGAACUUCAGUGAUGACAGUGACUUGGAAGACCCUGUCUCAGCUGAGGCCUGGCUGGCAGAGGAGCCUAAGAGACGGGGCACUGCUUCCUGGGGCCGGGGGCGAGCAAGGAAGGGUCUGAGCCUAAAGACGGAUGCCGUGGUUGCCCCAGGUAGUGCCCCUGGGAACCCUGGCCUGAAUGGCAGGAGCCGGAGGGCCAAGAAGGUGGCAUCAAGACAUUGUGAGGAGCGGCGUCCCCAGAGGGCCAGUGACCAGGCCAGGCCUGGCCCUGAGAUCAUGAGGACCAUCCCUGAGGAAGAACUGACUGACAACUGGAGAAAAAUGAGCUUUGAGAUCCUCAGGGGCUCUGACGGGGAAGACUCAGCCUCAGGUGGGAAGACUCCAGCUCCGGGCCCUGAGGCAGCUUCUGGAGAAUGGGAGCUGCUGAGGCUGGAUUCCAGCAAGAAGGAGCUGCCCAGCCCAUGCCCAGACAAGGAGAGUGACAAGGACCUUGGUCCUCGGCUCCCCUCAGCCCCCGUAGCCACUGGUCUUUCUACCCUGGACUCCAUCUGUGACUCCCUGAGUGUUGCUUUCCGGGGCAUUAGUCACUGUCCUCCUAGUGGGCUCUAUGCCCACCUCUGCCGCUUCCUGGCCUUGUGCCUGGGCCACCGGGAUCCUUAUGCCACUGCUUUCCUUGUCACCGAGUCUGUCUCCAUCACCUGUCGCCACCAGCUGCUCACCCACCUCCACAGA
rnacentral:sRNA from 1 species